rnacentral:rRNA from 1 species
CACGUAGGGGCGAGCGUUGUCCGGAAUUACUAGGCGUAAAGGGCAGGCAGGCGGAUCCAUAAGUUUAUCGUUUAAGGCGUCGGCUUAACCGGCGUAGGGCGGUAGAUACUGUGGAUCUGGAAUGCGGUUGGGGAAGACAGAAUUCCUGGUGUAGCGGUGGAAUGCGCAGAGAUCAGGAGGAAUACCGAAGGCGAAGGCAGUCUUCCAAGCCGUUAUUGACGCUCAACUGCGAAGGUGUGGGUAUCAAACAAGAUUAGAUACCCUGGUAAUCCCUGA